AUAUGACGCGUUUCAGGUUUGAGUUCAGACCUUGGUCUGAAAUUACAUUUCACAAAGCAAGGUUUGUCCUCAGACCAGGUUUAUGUACGUCAUCAGACCCGAAAUUUACAGACUGCUCAGAUAGGAGGUUUGUAAUUUCUCAAACCUGGUUUGAGAGCUCUCAACCAAUCAGGAUGCAGCACUGGGUGGAGAUAAUUUAUGCUCGAUUGAUUUUAUCCAAAUAAUUCACCGCCAAAACAAUCUGCGAUAGUAUCUGGUCAGCCCGAUUUUAGUGCAAUCGAAAUCUCUCAAUCUCUCGAUCCUUUCCUUAAAAUCUAAAGAUGGUAGAAAUGCAGCUGAUUCAGCAUAAUGAGCUGGUGUACCUGGAUGAGGAGCUGGAGCAAUAUAUAGCAGCACAACUGGGCAGAGGCCUCUGAGAUUGGGAAAACCCGCUGGAUGAUGAGCCUUUUGUUUUAGAUUGAGGUAAUUCGAUCUAAAGGAUGCACCGUGAGGAGGCGGCAUGCCGUGUCAUAUUCAUCUGUUUGCCGAAUGGAGAGUAGUGAGGGAUGUUUCCGAAGCUGUUGUCAGAAGAAAGGGACAAGUCAUGAAGUUUCCUACAAGUACAAGUUACAACAAGGCAAAAAGUGACUACUAUUCAGAAGCAGUUUUUCCAGUACUGCAGAUUUCCAGGAGUUGCUGUUGAUGGGACACAUGUUUACAUCAGGAGCCCUGGUGGGGCAAGAGCCAGGUACUACUUCAAUAGGAAGAACAGGUACUCCUCCGAUGUUCAGGUUGUCUGUGAUUAUGCUGGGAAAAUAACUAGUAUCGUUGCAAGGUGGCCUGGACUGGUAGCAGCCACGAUGCCAGGAUCUUUUCUGAGUGUGCACUGAAUUGACAGCUUCGUGCUAGGGCAUAUGAAACAGUUGAUUCUUGGAGAUAGACUAUAGGGUAUCCAUGCCUUCCCUGCCUCAUCAGAAGCCAUUUCUUCAUUCAGAGGGUCGACCACAGAUGUGCUUUCAAGGCCAUCUGUACUAGUUCAGCAAAAGAGGAUUAGACAACCCAGCGAGGUCACUGACAGGAGGCUAUCUCAUCAAUUCAGUUCUCAAUUAACAUAAGAAAAAGAGGAUCAU